AAAGAAGAAGGGGAGAGCGCAACUUGCACAGUCCGCGGACGCGACGGCCCCUCCUCUCCUCCUCCUCAGACCAGGAAACUCAGUGACAGAGAAGUGAUUUGCCAGUCUUCAGCAAAGAAUUAUGGAACUUAAGUUUGAGAUGUUCACACCCGUUAAACCACUGUGCUACCUAAACUAUCCUGGAUCUGCAUGUUUCCAUGGAAGUAUUUAUUAUGCACCACCACAAGAUCACACUGUUAGUUCCGAAUGUAUCCUGUUGCCAGCAUUUCAUCAUCUGUCCACAUUAAUACUUCAUCAGACAACCUUUAAAAAGACUUUACAAAAAGAAAUAUGAAAGACAAAAGAGAAAUUUCAAACUGAGAGCAUCAUUUGUCAGGUGGUAUCCUUUGGAAUUUAGAUGUUUACUGAACAUGGAUACAUUCAUAUUAUUAGUUGUCUAGGAAACAAUAGGUUUUUUUAAGACUGGCACCUAAAUACUUUCUCUAAGACAGACAAGGAUGCUAAGACUUUUUUGAGCGUAUCAUAGCUUAUUUCUGUUCCUCAGUAGGUAAAAUAUUUCAAACAUUUCAUAAAUUCCAUUCAAGUCACAUGGAAAGACAUAUAUUUUUCCCUUGAAAAAUGUUUGCAAAAUAUCCUUAUACCCUGAAAAAAAGAGAAUACUUUUAUAAUGAUCUAAAUUUCAGUGAUAAUUAAUAAUAUAAAAAGGAAAUGUGCAAUAAAAUCAAAAGGUGACAUUCACACCCAAAUAAAAAGCUACCACAAGAAUUGCACAGUUCCUGUCUCCCACCCAGUAUCUCCUAAAAUGUCCUUUAGUGGUUCGUGGACUUGCUGGGAUCUGCACAAGUGUGGAUUUCAUCUGAUUUCAUCUGAAGUAUAUUAUUGUAGCAACUUGCUUAUGGCCAAAAGUGUCACAGCUUUCUGCAGAAAUAAAAUAGAUAUUUGGUUCAAAUAUAAAUUCAGUCUCUAUUUUUGCAGUAAUUUUAUGUUCUAAUUAUAACAGUCUAAUCUGUAAACAACACAUGCUGAGGUUUUGACAGUGAAGUUCUGAUGAAACACAGAAUAGAAAUUUUAAUUACAUACAGUUCUAAUACAGUGAACACUGCAGCAUUUCUGUCAUCUUUGAAAUGGUAACAAAAUGAAAAAAAAGUUUUUGAAAUAUGAGCAUGAAGGUAAUGAGAUCAAUAAAUGUCAGCUAGAAAAAGUAAUCACAACUCUAGAGACUCACUAACCUUUCUACAAAUUCCAGAAAUAAUAGACUAGCUUGGGAUGAGGAAUUCUUUAACAAUGAAAAACAGAUACAAUUAUAAGGGGAAAGCAAACCAAAGACUGCCUAAUAAUAUCAGAGGUGUUGCCUUUUUAGGUAAACAAGAGAAAAUGAUAAAGAUUUUUCCUUUUCCUCCUGAGAUCCUAAUCAUUGCACCUCCAUCUACACCUUCUGAUUUCAAGAGGGAACUUAAAUAUAAGCACAUAUGUAUAUCUAGAAACAAAAUAUGAAAUGUGGCAUGAAGUGUAGUAAGAGAUAACAGUUUUGCAGACUGACAGCCUGAUCCUUCUCUGAGGGAAAUGGAAAAGUUAGAAUGCUAAUUGACCUCCAUAUAAAUUCCAGAUACUUAACGUUCUUAACGUACUUAACGUUUGGUGGUGUAUGGAUCCUAUAUAUAAUUUAUGCAAACACAGAGCUUAAGAAAGAAUUAAUUCAAGACAAGAAACUGUGUGCUACGUUUUAAUGCCCCAUGGUAGAAUCUAACUUCUGUAAGAGAAAACAUAUUUUACAUGCAGUGUUGGAUUAAGUAAUAUUUGAAAUGGUAAUAUUAGUUUUUUUAAAAAAAAAUUAAAUGUGCAAGACUCAUUGAAUCUGAGGUGAAAAACAAAGGAAAUAAAAUAUUUUGUCAAACCUA